CGCCAACAAGAACUCGAAGACGAUGAAUUGGAGUACAGCGAGCCACAAGAGCUUAGACGAAGAAGAAGGUGGUUCUUAACUGACGGCGUCUGUCAACCCGUAGACAUGAGGAAUGCAGAUGACGUCGUUUUCAGAGAGAGGGAACCAGGUGACAGUGGUGAACGGGUCAUGAAGUGAAGUGGCAAGGUUGCUAUCGUUCAUCGCAUCUGUCUGCUGAGGAGCUGGCGGUGCCGAAGUGUCCAUGGUGUUGUCGGGAACAUUCACGAUCUGUGGAAUGUUGGGAUCACCAGAGGAAGGGCUCCCUACCCGUUGGCGUUUGGAAGGGCUGACGGGGACCUGUUGACCUGUGGUGCUGCACCCGAGCAGAGCAAUGCAGGUGCUCCGCUCCUAGCAGAAGAGAACGUGGAACAAGAAAGGACAAAGUAAGUUCCGUGGGAUAAGAUUAUCUCAUUGAAUAUUCUCAUCCUGUGUCAAAAAUUCUGAAACGCUGUUUACUGCUCACUUACACUCAUCGUCAUAUGUGAAACCCACAGAAACCGAUGGGUGCUGAUGUAAACUCAUAAACUAAGUUUCACUUUUACUUUGAUGUCCAUAUAUUAUAUGAUAUAUAUUGAAUCGUCUGAGAUACAAAUGGAAUGUCCUCUUACAUUCGUCUCUGUCUGCAUCCCAGCUCAGUUUUAUUCACAAUUGCGGCGGCUGCGUUAUGCAUCCUAUUGAUGUCUUCAAUCGGCGGGCUAGAUAUGCAACGCACAAAGACUGUACAGCUACAACGGGGGAUACGUCCUCUUUGACAUUGACCACGGUGACGUCGAGAACUUACGUCGUGACCCCAAUUUUACCGACGCAUUACGUCAAGAAGUUUACGCACACAUUAUUUGGGGACAGCAGUGCGCUUUGAAUAUCUGUGACUACUAUCAUGUAAGACCGUAGUGAGAUACUAUAAACCAUAAAUACACACAAUAUAUACGUUAUAUACA